UCGAGAAUUUUUCUCAAUGGGGGAAACCCUGAAGGAGCGACGCCGCGUGGAGGAUGAAGGUUUUCGGAUUGUAAACUCCUGUCAUUGGGGAACAAUUCUGCGGGGAGUAACUGCCCCGCAGUUGAUAGUACCCGAAGAGGAAGAGACGGCUAACUCUGUGCCAGCAGCCGCGGUAAUACAGAGGUCUCAAGCGUUGUUCGGAUUCAUUGGGCGUAAAGGGUGCGUAGGCGGUGAUGUAAGUUGGAUGUGAAAUCCCGGAGCUUAACUCCGGAACUGCAUUCAAUACUGCGUUGCUAGAGUACUGGAGAGGAGAUUGGAAUUCACGGUGUAGCAGUGAAAUGCGUAGAUAUCGUGAGGAAGACCAGUGGCGAAGGCGAAUCUCUGGACAGUUACUGACGCUGAGGCACGAAGGCCAGGGGAGCAAACG
rnacentral:rRNA from 1 species